rnacentral:rRNA from 1 species
GCGUGGAUGAUGAAGGCCCUAGGGUUGUAAAAUCCUUUCGUCAGGGACGAUAAUGACGGUACCUGAAGAAGAAGCCCCGGCUAACUUCGUGCCAGCAGCCGCGGUAAUACGAAGGGGGCUAGCGUUGUUCGGAUUUACUGGGCGUAAAGCGCGUGUAGGCGGGUCGUUAAGUUAGGGGUGAAAUCCCAAGGCUCAACCUUGGAACUGCCUCUAAAACUGGCGACCUGGAGCAGAUGAGAGGCGAGUGGAAUUCCGAGUGUAGAGGUGAAAUUCGU